GGAUAUUUUUCUGAGUAUAUUUCCUUUGCCAAAUUUUGAAUUUGAAUUUGAGAUUUGAAUUUGUAUAUGUUGAAUGCUCACCAGGUAAUUCCACUGUAUAUCCAGCCCAUUUUUAUGGAAGAGGAAGAGAAGGCUUAGUGAGGUCAAAGAAGUUGCCCACAGAGGCCCAACCAGUUAGCAGGAAGCCUGUGUCUUCCAUCUCUGAGGCACAUGGUCCCAAUGGUGAUGUGACAUGGCCUACGGUACCAGGGCAGAGAUGGGAGGCCAACCCCCCAGGAGCAUCAGAGAGCUCUCUCCCACCCUACCAUAGACCCCGUGGUGCUCCGCCAUGCUCCCCAGGCCUCUAGAAGCAAGAGGGAGUGGACAAGAGCAAGUCCCUCCCUCAUUUCUGUACUCAGAGACAGGCAGUCCCUCCCAGUGACCACUACGCUUCCCCCCAGGCCCAGAAGUGGGAGAGCUGGCGUCUGGCAGGCACUGGUUCAGACAGCCUCCUGUGUCUGCCUGGCAUAUCCUUGCUGUAACCCCAGAGAUGACCCUGGCCACAGCCCUUUUGGCAGGCUCACCUGCUCGCCUCCCUUCUCCUCUCCAGAAAGGGGUAUUCCUGGCCACCAAGCCCACCCUGCCCUUCACUCCACAGGCUGGAGUGGUGGUGGUGGUGGUGGAGGGGGAGUCCCCGGGCUGCUGCCCCUGCCCCAAUGAGGUUUUGAAGUGCCCCGCAGAGCUCAAUUCCAUGGCCUGCACUUUCAUAGAAUCCAAUGCCCACUUAACCUUCAAGGAAAAUCUUCCUGACAGUCUCAUGAUCUUUGACCUCUGACCCCUGACCACGAACCUAGGUCUGAUAGAAAUCAUCCAAGCCUAACUAUCUCUAGGUCUAUUAUCUCUCUCUCUCCCAUACAGCAGCUUUUUGAAAAGGAAGAAAGCAUUAUACAGACACAAGAAAGUCUUCCUCCUGCUUUGUUAAAAACAACUACACUAAAUGCUUGUCUUUGCAAGGAAGUGGUGCAGCCGUGCAGUGGUGGGGAUCCUAGCCCAGGCCAGGGAAGGGGUGGGAGGUCCCAGGCAGGAGGUGGCCACACCGGGCUCCUCACCAGGCACACCUUGCAGCUCCAACCCUGCUCCCUCCCAGCUGAUCACCUGUCUGCCCCCACAGUGCCUGGAUAUCCACUCUGCCCUGGCCUCUUGGAAGCUACAGUCCCCCUCUUCUUCACAAGCUUCUAUAUUGAUUACAUCAGGUUUCUGUCACUCCCUGGGCAUACCCAGAGAGCAUGAGCCCCAUGGAGGUAGGGCAGAUCCUCAGGCCAAGUCCAGACCCUGCUAGCUCAGGACUUGCAGACUCCCAUCAUCUCUAGCCCCAACCUGGGUAGACAUCCCAAGGGGUGAACAAUACAAAGGAACCACAGCACUUGAUUAAAGGACCAUAAAAAUCCCAAGCACAGCUCCUCUGACAAUAAGCUUGUCUUAACAGCAGAGGCUUCCUCCUGCUGGGGGUCAUGGUUUUUCAUGUUUUUUUUUUUCUAAGAAGUUAUCCUACCAAGGUCUCUCUCCACGUGGGCAGGAUGUGUGGGUCACGUCCAAGCAGAAAUAAAUAGGUAAUGUUUCUAAAAUUCCUGGAAUCUCUAGGCUGCACAGCUAUUCAGAGAAGUUGACCUGAUUCAGAAAGGAAAGUCGGGGGUGGGCAGGCUCACCCAUGCUUAAAUUUGUGGUUUUCUAACUUUUAAUUUAUUAUUUUUUAAUCAGCAGAGAUCCUUUUAAAAACAAUACCUUAGCUGAAGUUCUAAUAUAAAAUCAUAGACAAUAAAAGUAAACAUGGAAUUUCUGGAAGCUGCCGCUGAGCCCUGGCACCCCACACAUCCUGCCUCCACCUGCCACACAUUGGUGCCCUGUGGCGUGAACCUAAAACUCUACCCAUUCUGAAAAGCUCUGCUCUCAAUACUAUCCCAGAGGCUAGCUACACAAUGAGCUAGACAUUUUUCUAGAAGAAGGGCUUCACUCAGGAACCCCGGACAGGUUUCAGUGGAUUCCACGACCCCCUUAAAAGUGCACGUGAAUAUUUUGCGCAGGGUAGCCUUGUGGGUGAGAGCCUAUGACAUGCACCCUAUAUCCAGAUGGUUUUCAUCUGCACAGCACUGCGGUUCCAGAGGCUGGGUCGCUGGAAUGGGCAAGACUUCCUUGGAUGCUCCAAGGGAAUAACCACCCCUCUCUCCCUUUUCCUUCCAACAGGGUUUCUUAUUGUAACAGUCUAAAGAGUCCUGAAUAAUAAACUGCACACACCCUUUGGGUGACCCGGAUCCUAGCUGUCGCUAAGCCUGGAUCACCAUGGACCAUUCUUUUAAUAUCCCAUUCUGCCCUCUCCUCUCUCUUGUGUAAAAUGAGGAUGAAAAUAUUUGCUCUUCCUACCUCCUUUGCCACACUAUUAAGACUUUCUUUGAUUUCAUGAGCCAACAAAUUCUUUUUACGUUUAAAAUACUUUGAGUUGGGUUUCUGUCGCUUGCAACCAAAAAAGUCCUAAAUAAUUUAACAUGAUACAACUUUAGGAGUCAGUGGGGCUGAUCUUAUUAUAUCCAGGAAGUCAUGGAAAGCAGACAUGGCCCCUCCCUUAUUGCCCUCCACGGGUAGCCAUGUCAGGAGGAAUCUACCAGGCAAUGUCAAAUACAAAUGACAUUUACUUAUUAAUUUCUGAAUAAACAGAUAAAAUAGGUGAGGACACUGAUGCAAAGAACAGGGACUAGGGACCAACAGGGAAGUGUUAGAAGAUUGUUUCUACAUUAUAGAGGGUAAAAUGUACAGGAAACAAUUAGUAAAAUGCCACUUCUUCAACUACCAUUGUCAGGCUUCCAUUCUGCAGCCAGCACAGUGCACUGAAGGGAGUGCACUGUGUGCACUGGGGGCUGGGGGACGGAGGCACUGGAGGAUGACUGUGACUCUCUGUGUCGAAGACCAAAUGGGACCAAAAGGCUACGGGCCUUCUCCAGGUCAUGAACCCAGGAAAGACUUGAACACAGGCCACUUAGGCUCAUGGUGUUCAUGCUGCUCAUUGACACGGGACACGCACAAGAGAAUGGAACUGGAGUGGACUGACAUGCUCCAUUCCCUGGAUAAUGGAUAUCUAUUAAGGGUCCUGGACACACUUCUGAACUGAAAAUGGCAAUGCCUUCAAGCUGCUGCAGACCAGGGGCAGAAAGACGCCCAAGAAAUGUGAGAGGUACAAAGGGCCAUGAGGAAUGAGAGUUUCCAUUCUGCAGCCCCUGAAAAAACCACCUGGGCAUGAUGAGACACAUAUGGCCUGUGUCCUGGCCCCUCAUGAAGUGGUGUGUCUAUGGCACAGAUAAGACCCAGAGCCUCAAGAACUCUAGAGAGCAAGCUCAAGAGAAGGCAAAGCAAUGUUUGCGUUCUGGCCUCUAAGGGGGAAAUGACAACUGUUGAGAAGUGGGCAACAUUGUGAAGAGUUUUAUGUACUUGAGGAGGUUCAAAGACCAUCAUAGAACUGAAGCAUCAACCAACUCUAGAAGAGGAGUGAUGCUCAACAAACCCUCAGAGGAUGCCCACGGUGCCCUGUGAGCAUGCUGUGUGCACAGACACAGGAAAACAAGACUCCACCUCUGUCUCCAAGAGGGGCAUGGGCCCUGGGGAAGAGGGACACGCAAAUUGAGUGGAGUCACAAUGGAAGAACAUCCAAGGUCCAAGGAGCUGUGGAGGAAGGGAUGCCUGAGGUCACCCUUCGAAGUGAACAGAGGCUCUGAGGUUAGAGUGAGAGAGGCACGGCCCACGCUUGAGGGGCUCUGCUCUGCUUCUUCUGAGCACACUCUGCUGCAGCUCAUUAUACAAACUAGCAGUAGUCACGUUCGCACAGGGCAGGGGCAUCUGUGGGUAGCAGGGAGGGAGCCCCUGCCUAAACCACCUGCGCAGCCAUGCUAAGAUUCUGAGGUGUACCCCGCUGUGCCGGGGGGAAGCCUCCAAGGCCUCACAUGAAUGAACAGGUUCAUCACUGUCCUGCUGUCUGCCCUGGUAGGUCACAGCUGGCUGGAGAGGCCACAGGCAUGUGUAUUAGCCUGUUCUCACACUGCUAAUAGGGACAUACUUGAGACUGGGUAAUUUAUAAAGGAAAGAGGUUUAAUGGACUCACAGUUCCACAUGGCUGGGGAGGCCUCACAAUUAUGGCAGAAGGCAAAGGACGAACAAAGUCACAUCUUACAUGGUAGCAGAAAGAGAGCAUGUACAGGGGAACUCCCCUUUAUAAAACCAUCACAUCUCAUGAAACUUACUCACUACCAUGAGAACAGCAUGGAGGAAACCAUCUCCCUUCAAUUAUCCCCACCUGGCCCAGCCCUUGACACGUGGCAAUUAUUAUAAUUCAAAGUGAAAUCUGGGUGGGGACACAGCCAAGCCAUAUCAGCAUGGAUAAGGAGGCCACAGUGAAGGCGAGAGCAGCAGGACCUGCCUCUCAGUAUCUGCCGAGCCAGUGUGGAGUGUGCUCACGUGGAAUUGGAGAGCUGGGGGACUGCAGCAAUGCAGAUCCAGGUGCCCUGAGCAGAGAUCAGGCAUCAAACGUUUUGGCUAGAUGCUGUCACUGCCACUUACCGCAGGAGCUGGCAGCAAUGCCUACCUUAUUUAAGCUUCUAGUUUUCUCACCUAAAAAAUGGUGGUAAUAAAGAAGCAUACGCAUAUCAGAGGACCGUUACGAGGGUUAAAUGAGAUGACUGGGCAUGAAUGGCAUGUCGACAGCCCAGCUCAAGAAUGCCCCGCUGCAUGUGGAGACCCCUGGGCUAGGAAGGCCUCCAACCUGAGGCUUCGUAAGCACUUGCGUCUGUGGUCUUUGUGCACCUGCUGGGAAGCAGCCGCCCAAACCCCAAAACCAUCCUAGAAUGUGGUCAUACCUGUGUUAAUCAACUAACCACCUGCUAAGCUCCCAGGCCGUGUCCAGGACACUCUUGGGCCAAAGCAGUCCCUGCAACCUCAGCUUCCUCCACACAGACCUGCACCACCCGGCUCCAGCCCCAGCCCCAGCCCCAGCCCCAGCCCCAGCCCCAGCCCCAUGCUGGCACUUCCCAAUCCCUCCCCUCAUCUCAUCACAGGACUCUGGGCAAGGCAGAGAGCUAGAAGAGGGGAAGCUGCAAGGAGGCUCUGAAGAGCCAGGGAGGGGCCUGUCUCCCAGAGGACCAGCCAGUCUGUGAACCUGCUCAAGGGCAGAAUGUUACUCAAAGGCCCUGAAGAUUUCAGGCCUCGGCAGCCAAGAAACUCGACUGAGACACUGGGUCUGACUAGCCUGCUGGGGCCGUCGGGCACCAGGAGGCUCGGGGGUAUCUAAGAAGCUAGCCACAGCACAGAUAAGAAGAGUGGGGAAGAGAGGACCUCUCUCCUCAGGUCUGACCGAGAACCAGCAGGGGCAGCUCAGCCUUGGUGCUGGAGGGACAGAGGGUUGAAACGUGGGUCCUCGUCCAGGAAGCCAAUCCGUGGUUUCAUUCAUUCAGGCAACACAUUUCUGCUGAGGCUUAUGUGGUGCCAGCGGCUGUACUAGGUGCUGGGGAUGCCACAGUGACCUAGGCCACAGAGAGGAACUUCCACUCUACCAAGGGGAAAUGACAGUCCCCAGCCUGCAGCUAAAAACACCAAGGUCAUUCAAACAGAAACAAGUGUGCUCAAAACCAAACCAAACCAUAGGAAGGGGAUAAUGCUUUAGAUUAGGGCAUCAGAAGAGUCCUCCCUAAGAAAGGGACAGGUGAGCCAGACCAGAAUGACCAGGUUGAAAAGAUCGGGAAAGAUUCAAGGCUGAGAGAAAACAAAUAGGGUAUUCCUAUUCUGUUUAGUCUUUAAUAUGUGAAGCUUAGAGUUUCUUUAAAUAAAGUCGUAGACCUAAAUUAGUGGUGCCCAACAUUUCAAAUUUCAUAAACCAGUAAAUUUAAAAAUGGAGAAUUGGGCUGUACACAGUGGCUCAUGCCUGUAAUCCCAGCACUUUGGGAGGCCGAGGUAGGAGAAUCACUGGAACCCAGGAGUUCGAGACCAGCCGGGGCAACACAAGGAGACUCAGUCUCUGAAAAUAAGAUAAAUACAUAGUUGCCUCCCCAGGAUGGAAGCGAGUCCCAUGCCAGCUGCUGGGCCCUCCUAGCUUGGCAUGCAGCCGGGGCAUCUCCUGCGACAGGUUCCAGGAGGGCAGCCCCUGCAGCUGAAUCACCCAGCUGCCCAGCAGCAGAGGCCAGGAAAGCAGCAUUUUGUCAUUUUCUCCUUGUGUACUUGGUGUUCCCUUCAAGUGCUCCCUUCAUCCAUAGGGUUUUCAGAGGGGAGUUUGCUUUUUUUUUUUUUUUUUUUUUUUUUUUUUUUUUUUUUAAUGAUGGCUACAUUUUCCACUGAGUUGACUUUCAGGAGGGAGGAGUAGAGAGUUGCCCUGCAGUGCCACAUGGUUCCUGGCUCUGGUCAUACCCCACGCUUGACCUGGAAGGCCAGAGUGCAUGAGCCAGGCUCAGGGGAUCAGAUCCUGUGCUUCAGGACUGCAGGACUGCAGGGCUGGGGUGAUGGACUCAAGGGCUAGGAUGCAACGGCAGGAUCACUAUUUCUGGCUGCAUCACAGCCUCCCAACAGUGGAGGUGCUUUCUGGCUUAUCAGGAGGAGGUGAUCCCUUAGAUUCUCACUACCCCCUCACAUGUCAUCUCUCAGGAGAAGCCCAUCCAGAGGAAAAGCUUCAGCAAAUGGAUUGCUCCCCAAUCCCCUCUGGCCUUGAGAACCACUUUAAACUUCUAUUUACAGCAAUGCAGCAGAAGGAGCACUGGGCUGGGGGCCAGGAUACCCGGGUUCCUGCCCUGGCAUUUGGAGUUAGACUGGAGAAUGGUCAGCCACUGAUCUUUAAGGACCAUCUGGGCCUCCCUUUCCCUGUGCACCUGCCAUGCCAUCCCUGAACACACACUCCUCCUUCCAGGCUUUGUCUUCAGCCUGGAACAUCUUCCCACUUCUGUUUACCCCUAAAAUUCUGUCAGCUUUUACCAUUAGCACAAAUGCCCCUGCCAUGCAAAGCUGAUCCCAGUUCCCAUGAGAAGGAAUCCAUCUGGUCACACAGCACACUGGACAAACUUCCUAGUACUCCAUCCUGCUGUCUGAAUGGUCUAGAUAGUUACUUAAAUGCUUGCCUCCCCAAACAAGCUACAAACUUUCAGGAGCUCAGGAGCCAUGCUUCCUUCACUUCUGUAGGCCCCACAGUGUCUGGCACAGUGCCUUAGAUACCAUGAGCCUCCAUAAUUGUUUGUUGUAUAAAAAGUUAAGAUGACCACUGUCCUGACAGGCCAGAGUUGGGCCAUUCUUACUGGAUCCACUGUGGACCAAGAGCAUUCAUUGGUGGCCCAGAGGCCCAGGGGUCUGUGGCCUUUAACUAGGCAAUAUCUCUUGCUCUGCAAGAGGCCAGGAUCCUUGAUGUCCUCUAACCAUAAGGCUCAGUGCUUAGUGAUUGCUAGCUCUCCUUCAGUUAAAGGGAAAAGGUAACAAAGACCUGGGUCCCCCAGGACUCAGUGAAACUGUAAGCUCUCCGAGGACAAAGGUGGCCAUUCACUGGCUGCAUGGUGACAACACACCACAGAUGCUUAGGCCCACUACUUAGCUCCACAGGCCCCCUGUGUGUAACAAGUGUCUCACUUCUGAGACAGCAAGGCAGCAGGUACAUUGGCCAGGCACCCAUGCUGCUCAUUUAUCCUCUCUAAGCUUCAGUUUCCUCUGCCUGAAAAUGGAGAGACUAAUACCUACCUUUCGUUGUAGGAAUUAAAUGAGAUGCUGAAAACCAAAGGAGAUGACAGAUAGAAACACACCUGGCCAGUUCUGGAUUACAUGUUUGCUGAACCCAAAUGGGAAAUGCUCAAGCCAGAUCAGCUUGCAAAGAGAAGGGUCCAAGUGGACCCUAGGUCCCGAGAGCUCAAGCCAGACAGACUAAGAGCGGUGUCGGUACCCAUAAAGAGAGCAAUAUGUCUGGCGGGGGUCACACAAAGUAACACAGGCCGGGACGGUGAGACCAGGAGUUCCACCCUGCGAUGGAUGGGCAGCAGGGUCCAAGGAGGUAGGCCAGCCCAAACUGUGACCCCAGUCAGCACCAACAGGGGGGUCCCAUCCAAUGGCCUCUACUGGGUUAUAGAAGACACAGGCUCGCUGCCCUAGAUUUGUGCUGUCUACUGAUGUGAAAGGGCUGGAGGUGAAAGUAAACUCUGGAUCACAGCUGGGCCCAUAGCCUAGGCAAAGACUAGGGGACUCCAGGGACUCCUAAGCCCCCCGCCCCAUGCCAGAGCCCUAAGCUUCACCUCCAGAAUUGCAUCUUACACGUUGCAGAUGCUAAUGAGACUGACAGCUGGGGAAGAAGUGGAGAGGGGGAAUAUCUGUGGGAGGCGGCUUGGGCCUUUGCACGAAACCUGCCAGAUCUGUGACACUCCUUGGCUGUUUUCAAAAGGUUCUACUAGCUCCUCCUAGGAUACCUCAGAGUGGCAAGAACAUAAAGAAAAAGGAGACAGCAAGACCAGGCUUGGGCAUCUUUGAGCCGAGUCACAUGCGGAGGAGACAGCCCAACAAUGGCAGGAAGUUCCCUGCGAACUCUUUCCUUCCCCUCCAGUCCUGCCCGAUAAAUACGCGCUCUUCUCCUGACUGAGCAAUGCCAGUUUCCUGGAAGGUGUUCAGAAAGUCUCCUCGCCAUAGAAGGAGCCAAAUGAUGUCUACAUGGAUUAUGAGCUAUCAUAAUGAUAGCAACGGGCUGUAAUGUAUGGAGGCAGGCACUGAGUGAAAAGUUUCUGAUACAGUAACUAAUUUAAACCUCACAAUAGCCCUGAGAUAUAGGUACUACGAUUAUCUAUUCUCUACAAAUGAGGAAAAGGAGGGCUGGAUAGACUAAACAGCAUGUCUAAAGAAAUGCAGCAAGUAAGCAAUGGAACUAGGGUGGCACCUCAGUUCUCUAACAUCAAAGCCUAUUCCCAUGAGGCUCAGGAUUGAACCGUAGCGGAAUGCUCAUAAGAGCAUCAGUCAUGAGACCCAGCACUGACGGCAGCGAGUGCCCAUCCAGAAGUGUGUGCGUGGGUUCCCUUUCUCUGGCAAUAGACCCCCAGAUCCCAUUAUAAUGACUCUGCACAGCAAUGUCACAUAGCAGGUACUCAACAAAUGCUGAUUGAUGGAGUGAACAAAUGAAUGAAUGAAUAAUGAAUGUGGCUUUAAACAAGCUACAGAAAGGGUUAGCCCCAAUUGUGGUGGGCACUCGCUCUGUAAACAAUUCCAGCACUGAAUGCAUACAUUUACAAGGUUGCUGUAACUGGGUUGUGCCAGAGCACCUCACUUCUUCCCUCUCCCUUCUUCCAAAUUCUGUGCUGUGCUUCCAAAAUAGCUGUGCUGCUUCAUGUGAAUCUGAUCAGUACCAGAAGAAGAUAAUAGAUCUCCCUGACAAGUGUGUGGUCAAAAAUUUAAAAAGCAUGAGGAACUUGCAGAAAUGACAAAGGAUAAGGUCUUACAGAGGUUUCCAAUUAGGAAGAAAGAUUAGAUGGACAAAGAUGAGUUCCUAAAAAGCUGCUUGCAUGCAGAAAAAUCUCUGUGUGGAACUGUAUUUUAAGCAUACUAGGAAAUUGUAAGUCCUGUUCCAAAUAUCUUUAGUAAAUUAGACAAUCGACUCCAACUUGUUAAUUUUACAAGAGAAUCCAGAUGCUUUAAGGAGACUGGUUGUACCAUUCUCUCUGACUAUAGUGAAAUUUAUCAUUUCAGAAAUUCAAUUACUUGUUCCAUUCCCAGAAAGCAGUGCUAAGCUUUUGUUGUGUGGAUGCACGGCAUUAAAGAGUCUGCACCACAUAAAAAGGUCUUUAUGGGUUGUCUUAAAUUGGGCAGCCAUUGGUUCUGGCCAGCAGGCUCACUAAGCAAUAGUGGCCCUGCUGACGUAGUUGGUAUCUCAUUCCCACCAUGGCUCUGUAGCAGACAGUGAUCUGACCUACUUUCAGGGGCACAGCGGUGGCUCAAGAAGGAAUGGCGGAGAAUUUGAGAACCUGGACUCAGGAUAUUGAAGCUCAGUCUUUAGGCGCUUCCUGGCCAUCCUCCACUGCCAGGGUUCCUGUGGCUCUGACUGAGGGCAGCUCUCAUCCCCUCCCUGCUCUCUGUCUCCAGAGCCUCUGCCUCCUGCAGCCCUCCUCACCUGAAUCCAUUGUCCUUGGGCAGGAAUAGCGUCCAUUCCUAGCCAGAGUGUCUAACUUCUUACAUCUACUAGGUUUUGAUAUGGGGCUUCCCAAGCCCCCGACUCACAGCCUGCAGAGAAAACAGUAACAUCUGCCGGGCACCCUAGGGCAACCAAAGAGAGUCUUUGGGACCAGAGGGUGGGAGCAGCAGCACCUGCCACCCCAACAGCUGAGUGAGGGAAGCCAACCAGGACUUAUUGUCAGCACAGCCACCAGGACACUGCUCUGUUUUAAGAGCAACUAAAAAUUUACACAAAGUCCAAAAUGUGGUUUUAAAAAUUCCCCGCAUAGGCACCAACGCAUAAACUGCAGUUAGGGAGUCUAUGCAGGGUCAACCCUCUAGAGCAGGGAUCAGCAGAUUUCCUGUAAAGAGUCAAAUACUAAAUAUUUUAGGCUUUGCAGGCCAUAAGGUCUUUGUCACAAUGACUCAGCUCUGCAGCUGUAUGGCAAAAACAGCUACAGAAGUGUGGCUGUGUUCCAAUAAAGCUUUAUUUAUAAAAACCAAUGGAGGGCUGGACUUGGCGCGUGGAUCAUGGCCGAUAGACCCUUGCACUGGAGACAUGUUGGAGACCUGGCGCAUUUGGCAGCAGUGUCUUCCCUCUCUGGGCCCUUCUCUCUACUGGGUGCUGGUUUUCUGCCUUGGAUAGGUACCCAGCCUUCUCACACUCUCUCCCCACUCCUUCAUAGAAGGACCUGACAAAUUCAGUCCACCUGAGAUGAGGAUAAAGGGGUUACAUUUACCUGAGGUUGGUGGCUCUCAGCCCUGGUUGCUCAGUGACAGCCCCUGGGGACAUUUAAAACAUCUCGAUGCCCAGGUCCCACUCCAGAGACUCUCAUGCAUUUGGUCUGGGUGCAGCCUGGGCAUCAAAGAUGUUAAAAGCUCCCCAGGCGAGUCUACAACGUGGUCGAGAACCACUGCCUCAGACUAAAAGGAGAAAAAGUGAGUAUUUUUAGAACAAGCAGGCCAGAGAGGUAGAAUUUCUUUUUCCUCUUGUGGGUGGGAAAGGGCCAAAAACAUGCCCAGAGCCCUUGGAGCCUGCCACACAGGACAGCCUGGGCCACCCUCCGCUGAUGCUGGCACCGGGUAGAUUUCACCAUGGUCUGCCAAGAUCCAUUUUUAUUUCCCUCUUGAUAUCUAGUACAUUUCUCUGUGGCAACACAUAUAUGCUCAUUAACACCGAUUCAUCAUCAGAAAAGCACGUAAGGGCCUAAUAUCUAAUCAGUUGGUUCAUCUAUCAAUGCUCAAAACAAAAUGUUGACCAAGUCCUGCCUUAGAGAGGGCUGUAGUCUAUCAAGGUCGAGACAAGGUAAGCACAGAUGAAAUAAUAAUAGGCUUAGCCAUAUUCACUUUAUGCAAUAAGGCAGUGGUUCCCACACUGCACAGUAUAAUGACCUGAGGAGAUUUUAAAAUCCCAAUGCCUGGGUCAAGCUCCAUGCUAAAAACAUCAGAGUGUCUAGGGAUGGAAGACUAGCACCAGUCUCUUUCAACCCACCCCUCCACAGGAGCCCAUUGUGCAGCAAAAUGUGGGAACCAUUGUUGUAGGGUUCCGCUACUCAAAGUGUGGUCUGAGGACCAGCCGCGUUGGUCUCACCUGGGAGCUGGCUGGAGAUGCAGAAGUUCAGGCCUACCCUAGUCCUCCUGAAUCAGAAGCUGCAUGUUCACCAGAUCUGCAUGCUAUUCAUAUGCACGCUAAAGUUUGAGAAGUAAUGAGGCAGGGUACCAUGUUCUGAGAAAGCAAAGAUUCUAGAAUGUCCCAGCAGAAUGGUUAGGAAACACUUCUUACAAAGAGGGGGAAGUGAGAGAGAUUUUGAUGGAUGGGAGAAUUAGAGGCAGAGAGGUGGAGAGGACAAGAUCCAGGCAAGAAGGAAACUGAUCUUCGUGUAUGGUGAGCCAGAAAUAGGAGUAAGGGUGGUUUUUUUUUUUUGUUUUUUGUUUUUUGUUUUGUUUUUGUUUUUGUUUUUUUGUGGCCCAUGAACACCCAGAGUGGCCCUUGGGCACAAUCCCUUUGUUUCCAGACCUCCAGAAGUCAAGUGGAUUCCCAGUUGAGUUGAGCAAGGGUUUUUUGUUUUGUUUUACAAAGAUAAAAACUUAAGUCUCAUUUAGUGAGACAAUUAACAAGCUCAGGUUUUUGAAAAGGAUAAAAUCUGAGGUCAGGAGUUUGAGACCAACCUGGCCAACAUGGCAAAACCCCAUCUCUACUAAAAGAUAUACAAAUUAGCUGGGCAUGGUGGCACACGCCUGUAAUCCAGCUACUCGGGAGGCUGAAGCACAAGAAUUGCUUGAACCCGGGAGACAGACGUUGCCGUGAGCCGAAAUCACACCACUGUGCUCUAGCCUGGGUGACAGAGUGAGACUCUGUCUCAAAAAGAAGAAAAGGAUAAAAUGGCAGGUAAAUAGGAUUGUCCUGGAAUACCUGGGGCAGCAAGUGAGGGGCGGUGGAGGAUAAGAAUAGAUGAGGGAGUGAAGAAACAUUCCAGGGCUUCAGAUCUGUCUCAGGCCAGGGGAGAGCUGGUGUCACCACUUGGGUCUGGGAGGGAGAGGGAAAGGGGAGACAGGAGUGAGCAAAGAUGCUUGGACAAUUUCUUUGAGGAGGACAGACUCACAAGAGAAGGAGUGGGGAGACAGGAAGACCAGACAAGGACUGGGGACAUGAGCACCUGUUCCCAGCUAGAGAAAGGAAGAAGGAAAGACCUUUUAGGAGAGGACUGAUUCUAUCUGGUGCAGGUGGCAAAGAGUCACUGAGCAUUGGGAGGCCUCGAAUCUGGAACACUGGGCUGUGUGACUGACUGGAGGGAAAUCUAGAAUCUCAAGUGUAUUCUAACAAACUAUUUUGGUAACGACCCCUACAAAGUUAUGUAUGGGAAAAUACAAAGCCCUUCAGCAAAUAUGUCUCCCAAAGGGAGGGAGAGAGGAAGAGUAAGCUAUACACAGGCCCUGGAAUUGUCUUCGGCACCAGAGGGCCACGAACACCCAGAGUGGCCCUUGGGCACAAUCCCUUUGUUUCUAGACGUCUGGAAGUCAAGUGGAUUCCCAGUUGAGUUGGAAAUGCCGGGAGACUUUUCCCAUACUACAGUGGACUGAAACAAUGCCGGCAGAGUGGACGUUACAAUUGUUUCCACUGAAGUUAUUUUGGGGGAGUUUAGGAAGAUUGUCUAUUCCAAGACAUUUCCUUCACCCGAUUCCCUUUAUAAAAAUACCGAAGGAAGAAGCCUGUGUUGCAGCCACUCUGUCUGCCCUGCUCACAGGCACGUGCACCAUGCUCGUGGUGAGUGGCUCCCAGUGGGCCCCAGGAGCUGCCGUGUGCAAUACCUAUUUACUGCUGCCCUCUCAGAAGCCCUUAGAUUUGACUGGCACCUCACUGUUUUCAAAGAAGUUUCUCCAUUAUUGUCUUGCUUGAUUCUCACUACAGCCUUCUGAGAUGGUGGUUUGCAGGGAGGAGGUUUUAUUAUCUCCAUCCUAGAUAGGAGGAAAUGGGGAAGUAAAGGUGCUUGGUCAAGUCCAUGCAGCUUGGAAGAGGUGGAGCGGGGCAGGCUCCUGUGUUCCGGCUCUGGGAGGAUGCCUUCUGGGUCCUGUGCGUGUUGCAGGGUGCGCCAGGGCUGCUGAGAGAGUGUUCCUUAAGUGUUUGUGGACUACUUUCCACAGCCAAUCCCCGAGCCAGGUCAUGAUGGAUCAGCCAGGAGAAGACAGACCUGGCCCUUCUGUACUCAGGGCUCCACAGCUAGUCCAGUGUGCUGUUACAUGGGGUGCAAGAUAGGGAAAAUGUGGGAUGCAGGGUUGGAAGGAAAUGCAGGGGCUGGAUUGGGAUGACCGUGCAUGAGAGGAGCUUGUCUUCCACGUGAUGGAAGGCAAGGACAGGCUGGAGCAAAUCAGGAAACUAGCUAGAUGUGUGCACUUUGUAGGUCAUGCUAGAGGUGACUGGAUUUAGGGGAUUUAAACCAAACCCAGGGCAGACUGGUAAGGGGCUGUCACAACAGCCAAGGGGCAAGGAGGACUAGCGGAGGAGUUAGGGAAGCCAUAGUGGAUGGAAGGAGAGUCUGUAAACGCCCAAAUAAAAUAAAAUUUAGAAUGAAAUUGAUGAGUUUUGGUGAAGGACGGGGUGGGGUGGAGAUGGGGGAGAGAGUGUCACCUAUAAGAAACACAAUGGCAAAGAAGACAUGAGCCCUGCUCUGAGGAAUCCUACCUUCUUAUAGGACAGGGAGAAAAUAAGGCUGGGCAUGAUCAAUUUCAAGAUGACAGAAGCUACUGAACUAAUGUUUUAUAAGUUAGGAUCAAGUCCUGGCUAACUGCUUAUUUUUCUAUGAUGUAAGUAUCUCACAGACUGGGGAAAUGGGAUAAGUCUUUAAUACCUUAGGGCAGAGGGGCUCAGCCAUGACUGCAAGCCAGAUUCACUCGGGGAGCUUUACAAGUGCCUCAUGCCCAGGACCCAUUGCCCAGAGAGUUAACUGCGGCAGGGGAAGGUAGUGACCUUUUCUUCCCUGAAAGUCACCUUUGCACUUAGCCCCUCCUGGACAGCAGGAAUCUCUCUCCUGUGUACAGUGACCUCUGACUCACAACAACCUUGAGAAUUCAGCUCAUCUGCGCUGGCCUGGGGCUUGAGUUUGGCUCAGUGCAGACUGAAAGGGGCUGUGUUAUAUGGACAACCAUGAAGGCUCCUUUCAGGUGGGCCCUCCUAUGACCUCGUGACUCCAUCCUCCUGAAGAAAUAGAAUGGAGGAAACUUGCCUUCUUGGCUGUUAGACAUUACCCUUCAGCGGAGGGUUCUCUGUAGCUGAAAGGUUCUCAACUCAAAGUUUGGCCUUCUAGAAAAUGACUUAGUGACCCAAGCCUUCAAUUCAAGCUGCAGCAUGUGAAAUCCACUUAAAAUGAGAGCGGGCUGCUGCUUCUGCAUGCUUUGAACAACCCCAGGAGGUGACUCGGCCACUCUGUCCUCAUAGAUUUGAGUUAUUUUUAUGACAAUAUCAGACAGAGGCUGUGCUGAGGAAGGGGCACCUCUUUCUAAUUUGCAAAAAGUCGCCAUGUGGCUAGUGGCCUCCUUCAGGGAUGAAAAAGGAAGCCACAGGCCUGACACACAGCCCAGUAUGCAGAACAGAGAACAAUGAGGACAGGGUACAACUGCCAGUGCGGGAUGCCCAGAUGCUGUGGCAGUCCUCCUCCUCCAGGGUGUGUCUGAAGGCCCCCAAACACCACCGCAUCUUUCGGAAGAGCCCUCACCUCUCUGUGCCCCCACCUCUCUGUGCCCCGGCAUGGCGGGGCUGAGGAGUGGGGCCCCGGGAACCUCGGCCAUUAGCAGCUUAUGUGGUCUUGCAGUUCUCACUUGGAUGAGAGAGGGGAGUGUGUGCAGAGACAGAGAGGCAGCUCUGAUUGUCAUUCCUUUCUUUUUCUCCCCCUCUUUCCUCUCUACAGAACAUUUUCUGUGCAGAUGCUUUAGUGAUGAAGCCUUUUCAAAGACACCUACUUGAUGCUGAUCUCUAGGAAAUUCUAGAAUACAUUAUUAAACAGAUGUCCUGUGAGCCUUGUACAAGGACCAAUCAUUCGGAUUCAUUAUAAAAGAAACUACAGGAUGUGUGGGAAGACCAGCGACCAAGGGACCCUGGGCCCCAAGUCAGUGGCUGAGUGAGCUGUGUGGCCUCUGGCCCAGCACUUCCCCACUGGGAGCCUUGCCUUCCUUGUUUAGAAGGACGUGUUUAGGAUGGUUUAGAAUGGUGACUAGGUGCUUUUCAAGAUACAUGCACAGAGGACAUUUCAUCUCUUUGUUCCUCCAUCCAAUGCUGGCUGUUCCUUACUCUGGGCACCAUGGUGAGACAGCUAAGUCUUCUGUGUUCUCUCUGGCUGGUCUAGGUACCCAUCCUUGGCACCCCUAUACCUGAGCCUGCCCUCAUCUGACCCUCUCUUCUUCACCAGCCCCAUCGCAAGUAUACCCAGCUUUAUCCUCCACAUCAGGGGCUGAGGUGACAACAUGUCGGUAGGAGGAAUCCUUGCAGGUGAUCUGCUGGAAAAGGAGCACUUCCAGGGAGGCUUCCCCCUGCCACCCAGUGUGCUUCGGUGUCAGCGCCCGCCGCUGCAGAGGUUCUGCACGCAGGGAACAAACUCCUCUCCCUGUCGGCCUCUGCCCAGCACGCUGUGGAUGGUUCAUCUGCCACACACACAAAGCAGUGCGCUGGAAGGAAAGAUCUGGAACACUGAGCCCAGGGCUUCGCCCCAUCCAGGGCCACUUGGAUACCAUGGAUUGAGAUGGCAGGGCCACAGAACGCAAUCCACCUGGACCCUGGAGUCCCCAAGGAGCUACCCUGGAGACCAGCUGGACCCUCAGCAGAAUUUCAGAAAGUUAGAAAUAAAAUUCUGUGUGUGAUUCCACUGA